GUGAGGAAUUUUGCGCAAUGGCCGCAAGGCUGACGCAGCAACGCCGCGUGGGUGAUGAAGGCCUUCGGGUCGUAAAGCCCUGUCAGGUGGGAAGAAAGGCCUGGAGAGGAAAGGUUUCAGGUUUGACGGUACCACCAGAGGAAGCACCGGCUAACUCCGUGCCAGCAGCCGCGGUAAUACGGAGGGUGCGAGCGUUAUUCGGAAUUACUGGGCGUAAAGCGCGUGUAGGCGGGGGGACAAGUCUGAUGUGAAAGCCCUGGGCUUAACCUGGGAAGCGCAUUGGAAACUGUUUUUCUUGAGUACUGGAGAGGAAGGGGGAAUUCCCGGUGUAGAGGUGAAAUUCGUAGAGAUCGGGAGGAAUACCAGUGGCGUAGGCGCCCUUCUGGACGGUAACUGACGCUGAGACGCGAAAGCGUGGGGAGCAAACAGGAUUAGAAACCCGGGUAGUCC
rnacentral:rRNA from 1 species